CGAGGCCCAGCUCAGGGCUGCCCAGAGGGAGCAGGGCCAGCUGCCAAGCCGUGCAGCGGGCGGCUGUUUUCAUUGAGAAUGCAGCCCGAGAAGUUAAAACCUUCUGAGUUUUUUAAAGUCAGCUGGAGAACAUUAUAGUCACGCAGAACUGAAGGCAGACAACUCGUUAAAAUUAGCGUUGGCCGUAAUUAAAAACAUGCCAGGGGAAAAAGUCUAUGAGAAGAAACAGACUCUUGGAAAGCUCCUGACAUAGCUACAUGUCUAAAUGGAAACGUAGCUUGCUAAUUGAUUUAAAUGAUUGCCCGGCUCCUCCCCUGCUCGUUCCCUGCAGCAGGUACCGAAGCUGCCCUCUGCGGGCAGCCAGGCUGGGCACAGCCCCUUUCCCUCCCUGCCUUCUGCAGCCCGGUUCCUGAGGCAGCAGUUGCAGGAGCUGCCCUGCAGCUGGAACCCCUGGGGCUGCGUGCUGCCCACGGCUGUGUCCUGCUCUCACUGCGAACAUGAGGGUGCACACAGGAAGGAUUUUCAACUCAGAGUUAAGCCUUUGCGGUGGGUGCCAAUGCUGACCAUUCGUAGCAAAUAGCAAUAAUUUGGCUGUGCUUGUUGUAUCAUCAGAUCAGUUUGGAGUGUCAUUGCUAAAAUAAUGCCACUGCCAGCUGCGCUAGGAAUGAGCACAGUUUCUCUGCUGGUUACUGCAGUGUUUUGUUUCCUUUUGUUCUGGGCAAAAGACCCAGUCCUUACACAGGUAUCUUACGUGCUCCUCUGGUCAUGCUUCCUGAAAAUGAAACAACACUGGGGCUUCAGCUGCAUGGUGCUGUGCUGUAUGCUGGCAGCACAUGGCCGAGCAGCCUGAGUGAAUCCCAUUCCUUGUUAUACUACCAGGUCUGAUCUUGUGCUGCUGCUAAUCUUACAUCCAUCCUGUCCCAUUUAGCUGAAAUUUUUAUUUCCUUGUUAUUGCCUAUGGUUAGGAAGUGUACCCUUCCACACAUCAUCUUUCAUUUUUCCAUUGGCUUCCAUGGUAUAAUGCAGUAUGAGUGUGAAAAACUCUUCUUGUGUCAGUCUGGAGAAGCCCCAUGUUGUCACGCGCAGUCUUGGGGUUUGUGUGUGUUUCUAUGAAGAUAACAAACCCUGCUUCACAGCCUUACAUAAGGCCUACUGGCUUCAAUUAUGUGUUGUAACUCAGUGACUACCCUAUUAAAAUCAUAAUGCAAUUUAUAUUGGCUUUUAUUGCACGUUGUAACAUGAUGAUAGGCCCUUUUCAUGUGAUGCCUUUUGGCUUUUUUAACAAAUCAAAAUGUAACAGCCCACCUUUUUAUAUUCUAAUGUAAUGAACUCUUUCCACAGCUCCGUCUGAUGCUUAUUGGCUUCUCUGAGAGAUCCUAUUCCUAAUUUAAUGAGUCCCUCUUCACAUCAUAACGUAAUUCAUACUGGCUUUUACAGCAUAUCCUCGCACGCCGGUGCCAAAUCAUAUUGUGUCAUAAAGCUAAGUGGCUUCUAAUGGACAUCACACCUCAGUAACCCUGUCACACGUUGUAACAUUUUUGUCUGCCUCUCUAACACAUUGCAAAAGUCCAGUGGUUCUCCAGAAAGCCUGCUGCAGGCGUGAGCCAUGGGCUUUAGGCAGCAGGCGGCUGCGGCCCUUGCUGAGCGGCUGCAGGCUGUCGUGCUCUGGCUGUGUGUCACAGGGAUAUUUGGAGGGAUGUUUUAGAGAAACACUACCCACCUGACUUUAACGGCUCCCUUGCUCCUGUUAUGGGUUAUUGCACAACGACUGCCUUCAGAUCUAUUUCUCCAUGCAAGUAUUUUUAAGCUCGCGUAGGGUUUACCUUAUUUAAAUUCUUAAUGAGGCAUAUGUUUGCUUCUUUAACCAAAUUAUGCUAAGAUUAUUUUUUUGCAUUCCAGAGUCCAUUCUGGUCUUUGAUAUUUUCUGAGAAAAGGCUUUCCAUAGUGAGAAAAUUAAAUUCCUUUCUCAGUGUGUAUUACUGGCAGAGCGCUGUUUUCUGAAGGCAGCAGAGGUGGUGACACACCGUCCCUGACCCACAGCAGGACCUGCUAUCCCAGAGUUCAUGGUGAGACUUGAUGAGUAUUCAGAUGGAGAAUCCCACUCUUGGAAGAUGAAUAUUCACGAGAGUACUGCAGCCAGGGAAGGAACAUUUCCUUGUCUGCCCUGGUAAAUGGUUCUGCAACCCCACAUAAUGUGUCCUGUCUCCAGCCAAGGAGGGCUGGCUGUGACAGCUUCAUGGCUCACCAGCACUGCUCCUCAGAAUGGUAGUAUGUGGUGGAAGCUGAUGAUAUGGUCACUGUGAUCUUUGCAUGCAAACAUAACAGGUCUUAGGAGUUACUUCAUUUUACAAGUUGGAGAACUCUGCAUGUCGUUGGAUGAGGCCUUUUCCCUGCUGCAGGAGCUGCAGACUUCAGCGCUGACUGCUGCAUGUGCCAAAACAAGCCACCUGCUUGUAUGCAGCCCAGUAACUCCCUUGUGCAAACAUCUGCCACUCGGAGCUGAGAUGUGCUGCAAGAUGUGCUCACAGUGCCGUGGUCCUGACACCUUCUGCCUGCCCUGCCAACAGGGCUGCUCUUUAUUCUGGCUCCACGUGUCCCUGUGCAGAGCUGACUGGAGGAGGGAAGGGCAGACUGGGGGCUAUGGGGAAGACCAGUGCUCAGCCAGUUCUGCAUAAAGGAGAGUGGUGGGAAUCUGCAGUUAGAGCUGACUGAUAGCACUGUUUCCUUCUGGACAUUUCAUUGUUAAAAUGAGAGGCUUAAAGGGAAUUUAGAGACACAUUUGCAGUGGUGAUUUUUUAAUGGGACUUAAUUUGUCAUCUGUCUUGCAACUGAUAAAUUAAAAGCAUAAGAACAGAGGCAUGAAAGGGUUGCCAGCUUCAAACUGCUUGCUGUGCAGCCAAGAUUUUCCACAACUGUGAUCUUGGAAGGAAUAGAUAUUGAUAAGGGAGGUGAUGUGUGCAUUUGUUACAUGGAAAGGGUGCUGUGCAACCUAUCCAAGGUAGAGAGAGAUUGCUGUUUGAUGUUUGAUAUAAAGUCAGAUAAAUUAAACUUAAAAAAACUUCCAAUUAGAUAAAAUCAGGAGAGCAGUAAGUGGAGCAGACUGACACUAUUUCUCAGACAGUGGCCUAUGAAGGAAAAUUGGCUGAGCUUUAAAGAAGUGCUGGAGCUGGCUCAGAGAGUGAAUAUAUCUUUACUUAAAACUCUACAUAAAACUUUUAAACCAAUGUGGAUGAGUGAUAAGCUGUUAAAGUUAAUUGUGAGAGAAUACAGCUCUAAAAUACAGAGAGCAGUGGUUGAUGGGCUGCCAGAGGGAUUGUGAAGCUGCAAUACAAAUGGAGGAUGUGAAGGGCAGAAUGGAGAGCAGGUAAUUAUGGCCAUUAAGCUGCAGAGAAUGUUGGUGUUCGAGCACUUUCUGUGCUCAAAGAAACAAAACCAAAUGCUUGCGUCCUGCCCCUUCUGCUGUGUUAUUUCCAUUAGAUGCUAUACCACUAAAAGCUGCACUUACCAGGAAUAGUAACACGCCUGUGUUGGUUUACCUGUUACAGCUGUUGGUGUUAAUAUAAUUUAUAUCAAUUAUUAUAUCAUAAUAUUUAUAUAGCUACUGUAAGAUAAUGUGUAUAAUUAUAUAUUGUGAGCUAUAAUCAUGGAGUAUUGCAUUGCAUGUACUUAGAUGUGUGUAUAAUAUAAAUAUGCUUGUCAGUGAUAUGUAUUCUGCAGGAGGCUGUUACAGGUUCAUCACAUGCAGCGCUACAUGUCACAUAAUGCACUAUUACAAUAGUUACUGUUUAUAUCCCAUAUGCCAGCACCAGCUGCUGGCCCCCAGCAUCUGCAGGCAGCAGGUAAAUUUGUGUUGGGAAACAGCUUCACUCGUUGCAUUUUUUCAGCCUUGCUUUGGGGUAAGUUUCAUGCAUCCAGUCAUGAAGGUGCUGUUGGGAUGCUCAGGUAACCAAUUGCCUGAGUAUCUCUGUAUGAGGAAUUUCAGUCAGGUCAGUGUGGUAAUUAGAACCACCUACUUUGAUGUUUGUUUUUUUUUUUAAUUAAAGCAACCUGGAGGACACCAUGCCAGGAGAGGGACAUUUGCUGAUUGGAUUUGUGAAAAGCAUCUGAAGUUUGGCUUGAUUCUUCUGUCUUGCUAUUGAUGUGUGCGUUGCUGAUUUGGGCAGUUUGCAGAAUGCCUAAAUAAAACAAGACUAAAAACCCCAGUAUGGCUGAUGAGCUGUCGUGUUCCUAGAGAGUGAGCCAUGACAAGCCUGGAGGUCCAGCAGUGUCCAAGUAACUUCUGUACUCACUGGCACUGAGGAACCAGCACAGCCUCUGCCUGCACCAUUUGAGAUGGUUGGAGGAGAACAAGAAAUGCAUGAUCCCUGUUGCAUAAAGGUUGAUCUGUUUCCAGAAGCUCCCCAUACUUCAGGAUAUACCUCGAGGUGCCAGUUUUUACACAUCUUUAGCCCCGCCAGUGUUGUGCUUCAGCAGGAGCCUUGGCCAAGCUGGUGUUCCCAGUGCCUGCUGCCAGCUCAGAGGUGUUCCCUGUGGCACAGCACAUGUGCCUGCUCUGUUUGCUCAGGGACACCUCGUGUAUUUUAUGACAAAGGCUUUAUACCAGCUUUAGCUGUCUGAACAUACACUGCUUCUUCCAAGAAUUCCAGGAAUUUGGGAUAAAAAGGGGAAUUCCAGUGUCUCCUUAAAACGGCUUAGAAUCUGACUGCAUCAUGGUGUCUGUUGAACUGUGACUAAUGGCUGCAUCACAAAGCUGGUUCACCAGGUCACCUCAGCUGUAGCUGGCACCGUUGCUUCCCUGCAUGCCCUGGGAACUGCAGACUGUUCAGGUGCUGUGGGCCACAAGGACAAUCUGAUCUGCUUCAGCUUCUUCUAUGCUAUUUCGCUGGGUCACUUCUUAGGAAGAAGUACUUUAAAAAUCAAAGCUGGAAGGAAUUGCGUUAGGCCAGUGAAUGAUUCCAACUUAGUGCCCGCAUGUUUGGGAAGUCUGCUUCAUCACUGCAUUGCUACAUUUGUCAGAUCCGACAGAACAGCAGUGCCCUGGAAAUACCUUACUGCACAAAAAUCAAUAGGAAAUUGGAGAUUGGCUUCGUUAAGGACAUUCAUGUUCUGUGGCACUGUCACACAAUUGUUGCAUGGGAGUGUCUACACGUGGUAAUGAGGAGGAAUCAAAGCUUCAGAGGGAGCUGCAGGAACAGCUGGACCUCAUAAGAGCUGCAAAAGAAGAUUCCCCAGCUAAAACAUGUCCAUGGAGAGCCAUAUGUGCAUAGCUGUUAGGAUUUUGGAAUCAGUGUGGUGGAAUGACGGGGAGUUGAUGGGUAAAUAUUAAUUGAGAGAGCAACCCCUGCCAAGAAAUUCUUUGUGAUUGUAUUACCUUCUCUUCAUGCAAAAUAUUUACCAAGUCAAAUACUGUCAUUUAAGUUACCAUAACUUUGUAGUCAUUGCACAAGGACUUGAAGAGAAGGCCCAGUGGCCUGGCAACCUCCUGAUGUGCUCUUGUGCUGUCCCAGAGGCAGUGAGACUGUCAGCAUGGCACCAUGUGCUGGGAAGCUGCUUUCCAUUCUACGUGCAGCAUCACAGGGCUGUGCUGAGCCAUAUGCCAAGCAGACACCUCGUCCUGGCCAGCUUUGGGCCAGGGGAUGGAAGGGAAAGUGAUUUCUUGAAACUUCAGCAUAUGCUUUCCAUUUGUGUGAGCUGGCACUGCCACGAGCCAGAGGAGGCUUGCAGCAAGCGGGGCUGUGCAGGACUGGCACCUGCUAGGCUGUGCUUGGUUGCUUGGGUGACUUCUGGACCUUCUGGUACUGUGAGUGAGCCACAUUUGAUGGAAAGAUGAUGAGCAUUUUUUCUCGACCCCAUGUCAUUGUGGAGUGGUUGGAGCUUGCUGUCAUGGACAGUCUUGUCUUGCAGAGAGCAUUACAUCCCUGCAGAAGGAGAAAUGCUGUAGUUGUUCUAAUUGCAAGAGAAGCUUCAAGGAACAUUUGCAUUUAAUUAUUGUUAGAAGUGUGCAGCAAAACAGAUUUCAUUGUUUUUAGCUCUUACAAAGCCAUAUGUCUAUGUCUCCGGAUUCCAAAGCCACAUAACAAACAAAACAAACAAAAGCAAGACCACAUAGCAGUAAUUAAAUGUCUUUGUUCCAGAAUAGAGUCAAGACUGGCAGUAGCAGAGAAGCCAGGAUGCAUAGCUGAAGCAGGAGAGCAGAGAGGAGCAAUGGUCUGUCUUUGUGGGGAAUGAGGAGCGUGGGUCUGUGUGCACCCUGGGAAGGGGCUCCUGACCAAGAACACAGUACUGGAACCUGCUGUGCGGUUGUUUGCAGCUGGAAAAAUGCAAUGGAGAGGCGAUUCUUCAUGUAAUUCUUAGGUGAGCCUGUUGAAUCAGUUGGAGCUGUUCUUUGUUAACUCAUUCAAAACUGACAUUUUAUUUUGUCCCAGUGAGCUGGAGCAGACUGGCUUGCUUCUCAUAGGGUGUCUGUCCAGCUGCCUCUAAGACAGUGGAAGGAACCAGAGGCUGUGAUCAGUGACUGAGUGAAGGGACGAAGGUCAUUCCUCUCACGGGGACAGAAUCUCCUCCUACUCUCUGGCACCGCUUCUGUGCUCAGUGUUGUUCCUGCUAAUCGGGAUGCUUUGAAACAGAGAGAGAGGAUAGCGGGAGGUGCAAGAAGGAAGGCUGAAUUAAAGGCAGAAGAGAGCACAGUGGGGAUACAGACAGAAAAACAGGCUGCGUGCUGAGCACAUUUAAAUGGGCACAGCUGGAACAAUGUUGGAGAGUAACAAAACUAUCUUUGCAUGUAUGUUUGCCUGUUCCCGUGUUAUUUUUCCCAGUACUGCAUACAGCAUGGUUCCCCCACAAGGUUAAAGAUCACAAUAAUGUUUUAUGUAGGUAGCAGAAUACCCUGUGUAGAGGAAGUAGUACAUGAUUUACUUAGAGAAUAGAGAUUUCGUGGUUUUUAACACAUGCAAGGAAAUUUGUCCACUGGCAUCUGUUGUGAAGAUGACAUCCCUUUGCUACAGGUCAGGAAGCAAAAGCAUCUGUGGCUGCGAGGACAGUGCUUGCAGAAAACACUUGUGCAGAUAUCUUCAUUCAGGUCUGGUUCCCAUCUAGGAAGAGGCAUGUCCUCAGGAUGGCUGCUGAGUGCCAUCAGCACUAGGAGAGAAAAGAACAGAUGUAUGGCUUUAAACCAAGAUAUGAAAAAGCAGGAAUCUGAAGUUAGCUUUAAAGUUAUUUGGGCUGGAGUAUUGGUGGGAAGUGUCAGUGGGCUGCAGCUCAGAACCUGCAAUAACUGCUUAGCUGUCUGGCUUUUUCUUCAGCAAUCUCACUUGAGCGUUUUCAUGUGCAAGCAGAGGACACUGAUCUGCCCUGUCUUCCAUGCAUGCACAUUCAUUCAGCGCCGUCCCCUUUGGACUUGAGAACAGACAUAUCAGGUAAAUGCAGGUGGAUGCAGCCAAUGGUAAAGUUGUUUUUCUUCCAUUGUGCUGAUGCAUGGAUAGCAACCCCAUCCCAAUCUUACUGUUGGGUCAUCAGUCAAGACUUAAGGACUGCCGAAAGUAUGGCUCAUCCCUGAGCUGUUUGCAAAUCAGUGUUUUACAUAUUCUGGACCUGUCCAAGCUGAGCCAAACUGAUUUUUGCAUCCAACAAAGAAAUGAUAGGAUGAGAGGGAAUGGCCCCAAGUUGUGCCAGAGGAGGUUCAGGCUGGAUAUUAGGAAGAAUUUAU